GAUGCUAAUAUAAUAUAACUUGAAAAUAGACACGUGCGGGUGAAAACGGACGUAAGGUCACCCUACGUAAAUAUUUCAUUUUAUCAAUCAUAAAAAACGUUGAGAGAGCCCAAAUCAAUGCGUAGACGUAAAAACUAAAAUAUACCGAUUAUCUUGAUACAUUUUGUACGUGUGAGCGUUAUGUGGCCAUCGUAGCCAUGGAAACGAGGAGGAUGCAUUAUUUAAAGUCACCUAACUGACUUUCAGUUACUCUGCGAGCAGCGGGAGACGGAGAGAGACGUGCUGUGAGCUUUGAGCUGAGAAAGUAGUGAGAAAGUUUACCAGAACCAGAGAAAAGUCACCACUGACCCUCUACAGGACCAAGACCAGUCAGAGAAGGACUUCAGACCAGGAGAAGACCAUGGCCCCCCGCAUGGCAGAGGGUUUUUUCCGUGGCUGGGCAGGACCUCCGGGCUGGGUCCCGGGCUGGGCAGAACCUCCGGGUUUUGUCCCGGUCUGGGACGGACCUUCAGAAGAACCAGAAGACCCAGAAGAAUCAGAAGACCGAGAAGACAUAGAAGAAUCAGAAGAUCCAGAAGAAUCAGAAGACCGAGAAGACAUAGAAGAAUCAGAAGACCCAGAAGACAUAGAAGAAUCAGAAGAACCAGAAGACAUAGAAGAAUCAGAAGACCCAGAAGACAUAGAAGAAUCAGAAGAACCAGAAGACAUAGAAGAAUCAGAAGAACCAGAAGAGCCUGAAGAGGACCUUUCUGAGUGGGCUGUGUUUUACGUCUACAAGGUGACUCCUGGCUGGGAGACUCCUGAGGAGUCUUCUUCAGACUCCAGUGACUCUGAGGAUGAAGGUAAGUAUUCCCAGGAGAGAACGAAGAGGCCAAGACAGGACGACAGCCGUGACUCAUCUUAGAGUCAUCUGUGCUUCCCCUGCUCUUCUCCAUCUAUGAGCAGAGCUCCCUGUUUGUACCCGGCUUCCACAGCUGGUCCUUGCGUCUGGCGGGAUUAGCUCAGCUUUGGUUACAUUGACACCAACCAAGACUGACCAUCUGUGCUUGUCCAAAGCGUCUUGCACCUGGGCUGUUUUGUAAAUAGUUGUUUUAGGUGAGUUGUCCUUUGCGUCUUGCGGGCCGGCUGAUGUCCCAGGCAGCGUCUGGUACCGGACCUUUUUUAAGUUGGUAAGAAUUUUAUUUUUUGUUCAGUAAUGACGGACCACAGCAGGAGUGUUUGUCCUGUCACUGUUAUAAAACAUGUAUAUUAUAUUAGGUUUAGUUAGGUUAGAGUUAAGAAUUAGAGAUAACCUUUUUAAUCCCAGCAAGUGAGGACAGGAGGAGACAUCAGCAGAGACCAAGGAAGAAUUCUUAAUCAACCAAAACAAUGUAAGCAAAAAUACUGAACACACGUUUAUUGUAAAAAUAAACUGUACUUUAUUAAUAAUGCCUGUAAAAUG
rnacentral:lncRNA from 1 species